GAUGAACGCUAGCUACAGGCUUAACACAUGCAAGUCGAGGGGAAACGACAUCGAAAGCUUGCUUUUGGUGGGCGUCGACCGGCGCACGGGUGAGUAACGCGUAUCCAACCUGCCCACCACUUGGGGAUAACCUUGCGAAAGCAAGCCUAAUACCCGAUACGCUUCAUAGAUGGCAUCUGAAAUGAAGUAAAGGUUUACGGUUAUGGAUGGGGAUGCGUCCGAUUAGCUAGUUGGCGGGGCAACGGCCCACCAAGGCGACGAUGCGUAGGGGUUCUGAGAGGAAGGUCCCCCACACUGGUACUGAGACACGGACCAGACUCCUACGGGAGGCAGCAGUGAGGAAUAUUGGUCAAUGGGGCGCAGGCCUGAACCAGCCAAGUCGCGUGAGGGAUGACGGUCCUACGGAUUGUAAACCUCUUUUGUCGGGGAGUAACGUGCGGGACGGGUCCCGUAUUGAGAGUACCCGAAGAAAAAGCAUCGGCUAACUCCGUG
rnacentral:rRNA from 1 species